CAACUGGGUGGUCGAGUAUGA
rnacentral:siRNA from 1 species